rnacentral:rRNA from 1 species
CAGUAGCCGCGGUAAUACGUAGGUCCCGAGCGUUGUCCGGAUUUAUUGGGCGUAAAGGGAGCGCAGGCGGUUUAGUAAGUCUGAAGUUAAAGGCAUUGGCUCAACCAAUGUAUGCUUUGGAAACUGUUAGGCUUGAGUGCAGAAGGGGAGAGUGGAAUUCCAUGUGUAGCGGUGAAAUACGUAGAUAUAUGGAGGAACGCCGGUGGCGAAAGCGGCUCUCUGGCUUGUAACUGACGCUGAGGCUCGGAAGCGUGGGGAGCAAACAGGAUUAGAUACCCCGGUAGUCCCUGUCUCUUAUACC